GUAACGGCGAGUGAAGCGGCAACAGCUCAAAUUUGAAAUCUGGCCGCAAGGUCCGAGUUGUAAUUUGCAGAGGAUGCUUUUGGCGAGGUGCCUUCCGAGUUCCCUGGAACGGGACGCCAUAGAGGGUGAGAGCCCCGUACGGUAGGACCACCGAGCCUUUGUAAAGCUCCUUCGACGAGUCGAGUAGUUUGGGAAUGCUGCUCUAAAUGGGAGGUGUACGUCUUCUAAAGCUAAAUACCGGCCAGAGACCGAUAGCGCACAAGUAGAGUGAUCGAAAGAUGAAAAGCACUUUGAAAAGAGGGUUAAAAAGUACGUGAAAUUGUUGAAAGGGAAGCAUUCAUGACCAGACUUGGGCUUGGUUGAACAUCCGGCGUUCUCGCCGGUGCACUCUGCCAGUCCAGGCCAGCAUCAGUUUGCCCCGGGGGACAAAGGCGGUGGGAAUGUGGCUCUCUCCGGGGAGUGUUAUAGCCCGCCGUGUAAUGCCCUGGGGCGGACUGAGGAACGCGCUUCGGCUCGGAUGCUGGCGUAAUGGUCAUCAAUGACCCGUCUUGAAACACGGACCAAGGAGUCGUCUUCGUAUGCGAGUGUUCGGGUGUCAAACCCCUACGCGAAAUGAAAGUGAACGUAGGUGAGAGCUUCGGCGCAUCACCGACCGAUCCU
rnacentral:rRNA from 1 species